rnacentral:rRNA from 1 species
UUUUCGCAAUGCCCGAAAGGGUGACGAAGCGACGCCGCGUGGGUGAAGAAGGCCUUCGGGUUGUAAAACCCUGUCAGGAGUUAUGAAAUGUAAGUGCGCUAAUAUCGUGCUUAUUUGACAAAGGCUCCAAAGGAAGCCACGGCUAACUCUGUGCCAGCAGCCGCGGUAAUACAGAGGUGGCGAGCGUUGUUCGGAAUUAUUGGGCGUAAAGAGCACGUAGGUGGGUUUGCAAGUCAGAUGUGAAAGCCUUCUGUUCAACGGAAGAAUUGCAUCUGAAACUGCUAAUCUUGAGUAUAGGAGGGGAGAAUGGAACUUCUGGUGGAGCGGUGAAAUGCGUAGAUAUCAGAAGGAACGCCGGCGGCGAAAGCGAUUCUCUGGCCUAUUACUGACACUCAGUGUGCGAAAGCUAGGGGAGCAAACGGGAUUAGAUACCCCGGUAGUCCUAGCCGUAAACGAUGGGCACUAAGUAGAGGGGUU